AGGAAGCAGCUUGCUGCUUCGCUGACGAGUGGCGGACGGGUGAGUAAUGUCUGGGAAACUGCCUGAUGGAGGGGGAUAACUACUGGAAACGGUAGCUAAUACCGCAUAACGUCGCAAGACCAAAGAGGGGGACCUUCGGGCCUCUUGCCAUCGGAUGUGCCCAGAUGGGAUUAGCUUGUUGGUGGGGUAACGGCUCACCAAGGCGACGAUCCCUAGCUGGUCUGAGAGGAUGACCAGCCACACUGGAACUGAGACACGGUCCAGACUCCUACGGGAGGCAGCAGUGGGGAAUAUUGCACAAUGGGCGCAAGCCUGAUGCAGCCAUGCCGCGUGUAUGAAGAAGGCCUUCGGGUUGUAAAGUACUUUCAGCGGGGAGGAAGGGAGUAAAGUUAAUACCUUUGCUCAUUGACGUUACCCGCAGAAGAAGCACCGGCUAACUCCGUGCCAGCAGCCGCGGUAAUACGGAGGGUGCAAGCGUUAAUCGGAAUUACUGGGCGUAAAGCGCACGCAGGCGGUUUGUUAAGUCAGAUGUGAAAUCCCCGGGCUCAACCUGGGAACUGCAUCUGAUACUGGCAAGCUUGAGUCUCGUAGAGGGGGGUAGAAUUCCAGGUGUAGCGGUGAAAUGCGUAGAGAUCUGGAGGAAUACCGGUGGCGAAGGCGGCCCCCUGGACGAAGACUGACGCUCAGGUGCGAAAGCGUGGGGAGCAAACAGGAUU
rnacentral:rRNA from 1 species